rnacentral:rRNA from 1 species
AUUGAACGCUGGCGGCAGGCCUAACACAUGCCAGUCGCGCGGAGCGGCGGCCGGGUGAGUAAUUCCUAGGAAUCUGCCUGGUAGUGGGGGAUCACGUCCGGAAACGGGCGCUACUACCUCAUACUAUCAGCUGAGACUAGGUCGACUUAGCUUGUUGGUGGGGUAAAGGCCUACCAAGGCGACGAUCCGUAACUGGUCUGAGAGGCUGAUCAGUCACACUGGAACUGAGACACGGUCCAGACUCCUACGGGAGGCAGCAGUGGGGAAUAUUGGGCAAUGGGCGAAAGCCUGAUCCAGCCAUGCCGCGUGUGUGAAGAAGGUCUUCGGAGUGUAAAGCACUGUAAGUUGGGAGGCGUGACCAACAGAAUAAGCACCGGCUAACUUCGUGACAGCCGCCGCGGUAAUAC